UGCACCUGCGGCGGGCCAAGCGCCAUCCCGAGAGACGGUCUUGCAGGUGGCCGGAUGGCGUACGGUCUGGUCUCCCAGAUACUGGGAUUUAAGUCCCUU
rnacentral:sRNA from 1 species